UUGGUCUUCGAUUACUUAACCAUGAACUUUGUUGUAUUAGAAACAAACUGUUCUUUGCUUCGGAUGGGAUAGUUGUCCAUUUCUCGGUUCAGAGCAAUUUGAAGGUUAAUCAUAACUUGUAAAGUUAUCAGGGAUACUGCUGCGGUCAUGCUUUCUGGUCAGAUAGCUGAUGGAUUCACAACUAUAUUUGCUAGUGAACUGGUAUUCCCUAAGUUAGACAGGGCGUUAGCAUAAUUGUUCUUUGUCACUUUAUGAUUUGUAUUUUGACAUGUCCUAUCCAUUGUGAAGAACUCCAGCGCAAGUCCUUGAACUGAACCUCACAGUAUAGGGACCGAGGGAGUAAUUUUUGUUGUUAUGAAAGCUUGUCUUAGGUGUGGCACUGGAGUUGUAGUAGGCUCGGUCUAGGUGCAGGAAAUUACUUAGUCAGGUGCGUUUGAUAAAAUGCUUGUAAUCAAAUUCAUACUGACCAUUCAUAAAUAUGGCGGUGCUUUUGUUAAACUCA